AACGAACGCUGGCGGCAGGCUUAACACAUGCAAGUCGAGCGCCCCGCAAGGGGAGCGGCAGACGGGUGAGUAACGCGUGGGAAUCUACCUAGCUCUACGGAAUAACCCAGGGAAACUUGGACUAAUACCGUAUACGUCCGAGAGGAGAAAGAUUUAUCGGAGUUAGGUGAGCCCGCGUUGGAUUAGCUAGUUGGUGGGGUAAUGGCCUACCGAGGCGACGAUCCAUAGCUGGUCUGAGAGGAUGAUCAGCCACACUGGGACUGAGACACGGCCCAGACUCCUACGGGAGGCAGCAGUGGGGAAUAUUGGACAAUGGGCGAAAGCCUGAUCCAGCCAUGCCGCGUGAGUGAUGAAGGCCCUAGGGUUGUAAAGCUCUUUCAACGGUGAAGAUAAUGACGGUAACCGUAGAAGAAGCCCCGGCUAACUUCGUGCCAGCCGCCGCCGUAAGAC
rnacentral:rRNA from 1 species